rnacentral:lncRNA from 1 species
AAAAAAAUAAAGUAUAGAACAUCUACACUCAGAUCUAUGCAUAUUAUUCUUAAAACAAUAAAAUAUAGAACAUCUACACUCAGAUCUCACACCGCAUCAUCCAGGGACACAAAAAAAGUUUGUGGUUUUUUAAUAUAAAACAACAUUUAAAAGGUAUGUAAGUAAAUUUAAACCAUAUAGUGUAUAGGGUACUAGGAUUCAUAUUUAUAUUAUAGGCGUACAAAUAGUAUUGCUUUUAUUUUUAAUAGAGCAAUGCUAUCAGCAGGCCUAGUGUAUGUAUAGGCGCAAGCUUUACACGCUAACCUCUCAAAGAUCAAGAUUUACUCACUUAGCAAUUUGUUUUUUUUUUCUCUUUUAGAGCAAUACUAUUUGUACACUUAGGUAUCAUUUGGUUCAUAAAUGAAGCACUUAUUUUCCUUGGGGCUGUUUGAUUUCUCGGCAAAGUUUGGGAAAAAAAAAAAAAUCAAAAAAACAAUUUUUCAUAAAAACCUCUUUUUUCAACUUUUCCCAAACCAAAUAAUAUCUUAUAGGAUUAAUUACAUACAGCUCCCUGUAAACACAUCGAAUGAUAGAUAUUUUCGUACAAAGUUUAACUUUUUAUUUUUUUUUUAGUAGUGCUACAGAUACACCCCUAUUUAGGGUGUACAUCUUACAACUGCCAAAUCCAACAGCGGGGAAUAAUGAAAUUUUUUUUAUUAAAAAAAUAUUGAUAACUUCACUCCUUUUUUUUCGUCUCUUUCCCUCUUUUCCUCUGGACUUCCCUCUGCUCCCUCCUCUUUUUCUCCAUCUUCACUUCCUCUGUCUCUUCCUUCAUCAUUCGUCGAUUCUUCGGCAAACUCAUGUCUUGCGGCCAUCCGCAUAUUCUCUUCCUCCAUUUUAAGCUGGAGUUCUCAACCCACAUCCGCGGGUUCUUCUCUCCGAUUAGUCCCCAUCCGUGCAUCUUUCUUGGUUGUGAUCCUCAGUCCCAUCCGUGCGUAUGCCACUCAUGAUAGCCAUUCUUUUCUGUGAUAACAUAAGUGCUUUACAUAUGACAAUUAAUCCUGUUUUCCAUGCUCGUAGUAAGCAUAUAUAUAGAAAUUGAUUAUCACUUUAUACAUGAGAGAAUAUUUGAAUGGUUUCUCUCCUUGUUGAGAUUAUUCCUUAUUGUAUUAAAAUGUAUAGAAGUUACAAAACAUUACAAAUGGUAUGAUAUGCAUAAAAGAAAACAAUUUGAAAUAAUAAAAUACAAUCAUAGUUUCUUUUCUUAGAGUGGAUGAAAUCAAUCUUGGUUGAGCACAAAUGAUCCUUCACGAGAUUUGAUAAACUUUCCUAAUUCGUCUCUUGAUCAUGAUCAUUUCCUUUUUGAUGAGAAUGUUCAUUACUCCCCCGCAAAUGUCUAGACCACAUGCCGAGUUUGGUUCGUAAUUGUGUAAAACCAGAUUUAGAAAGUGGCUUGGUCAAUACAUCGGCAAGUUGAUGAGGAGAGGAGACAAACCGUGUGACCAAAUGACCAAAAGCCACCUUCUCACGUAUAAAGUGAUAAUCAAUUUCUAUAUGCUUACUACGAGCAUGGAAAAUAGGAUUAACUGUCAUAUGUAAAGCACUUAUAUUAUCACAGAAAAGAAUGGCUGGUUUAUCAAGUAUAAUACCAAGAUCACACAAUAUAAAGGACAACUAAGUUAACUCUGCAGCAGUGGAAGCCACAGCUCGAUAUUUAGCCUCGACACUAGAUCGAGAUACCGUAGGUUGUUUCUUCGCGCUCCAAGAUUAGCAAUUACUUCCAAGAAAAGUAUAUAAACCGGUGGUAGAUCGGCGAGUAGUAGGGCAGCCAGCCCAAUCGGCAUUGGAGAAGGCAUAUAAAUCAAGAGUACUUUGAGAUAAAAUUCGAAUUCCAAAAUCAAUAGUACCACUGAUAUAACGAAGAAUGCGUUUGACAUUCUGAAAAUCUUGCAUUGUCGAUGACUCCAUAUGUUGACAUGCUGCAUUAACAGAGAAAGAGAUAUCUGGACGAGUCAUCAUCAGAUAUUAUAAAGCUCCAACAAGACUUCUAUUAAAAGUAGGAUCUGCAAAAGGACGAUCAUUAAAACAAAGAGUCUUAGCUUUUAAAGCCCUAGGAGUGGAGACAGGUUUGCAUGCAGUCAUUUGAACCCAGACCAAUAAAUCGCGUGCAUACUUUCCUUGUGUAAGAAAGAGUCCUUGAAAAUUUUGAACUUCAAUGCCAAGAAAGUAGUGAAGUGGUCCCAAAUCUUUCAUAGAGAAUUCUCGAGCAAGAUCAUUAAUAACGGUAUCAAGAAGGUCUGGAUUAUCUCCGGUUAAAAUGAUAUCAUCAACAUAAAGUAAUAAAAUAUUUUUUUCCCAUAUUAGUAUGGCAAACAAAAAGGGGAGAAUCAGCUGUGCUGCAAUAAAACCCAAGACCAAAUAAAAAAGUGCUAAAACGAUCGAAUCAAGCCCGUGGAACUUGUUUGAGUCCAUACAAUGCCUUCUUCAAACGACAAACAUGAGUUGGAUGAAUUGGAUCAAUAAAACCAGGGGUUUGAGCCAUAUAGACAGUUUUAUGUAGAUGACCAUGCAAAAAGGCAUUUUUAACAUAUAAUUGCCGAAUAGGCCAUCCUUUAAUUGUAGCAAUAGUAAGUACAGUUCGAAUACUACCUGGUUUGAUAACAGGGCUAAAAGUUUCUGAAAAAUCGAUACCUUUUUUUUUAUUAUAUCCCUUACCAACAAGUCAUGCUUUAAGACGAUCGAGACUGCCAUCAGCUUUUAAUUUUGUUUUAUAAACCCAUCGACAUUCGACAACAUUCAUAAAAGAUUCCCGAGGAACAAGAUCUCACGUAUCAUUUUUCAUUAGAGCAUCAAUUUCCUCUUGCAUAGUCGAGCACCACCCAUCAUGCUUGAGUCGAUUGAAUUGACUUAGGCUCCAAAGGAGUAUGAUGUGUAAUCGAAAGUGCAUACUUGGGAUUAGGUUUAAUCACACCUACUUUUGAUCGCGUAAUCAUAUGAUGAGUAUUUGAAACAUUUUCAGUAGACAUAGAGAUAGUGGAAGGCUCACCAGUCAUAUUUUGAUUAGGUUCGGUCAUCACUCGAGAGGGUGAGAUGUCGUCAGGAAGAGUCAUGUCACCACUUGAUGGAGCCGCAACUUCAUGAGCAAGUUCUCUUGAUUCAAAAUUAUGUUUAGCAGAUGAUGGAUUUUCUGCCAAAAUAUGUUUUUCGUUUGCCGUUGUAAAUAUUUGGGAUGCUUCAGGAUUAGAUGUUGGCUGUGAGUUGCUAGAUAAAUUCGCAAUAUCAACAGAUAUAAUUUGAUUUCCACCUGAUACACUAGUUGAUUCUAUAAAACUAGUUUGAUUUGAGCAGUCAUGAAAUGUUGAUAACUCACAUUCAUCAUGUUGAAUAUCAAAUAAAUGAGAACUAUUUGAAAAAGAAAACAGUUGUUCGUAGAAUACGACAUGUCGAGAAAUAUAAACCCGCCCUGUAGGAGGAUAUAGACACCAAUAACCUUUGUGUUUAUCACUAUAUCCCAAAAACACACAUGGUAAAGAACGUGGAGUGGAGUGAACUUAUUUUUUGCAUAAUCUCUCAAAUAUGGAAAACAACGGCAUCCAAAAAUCCGCAAACUUAAAUAGUUAGGAUUCUUAUUAAAAAGAGUUUGAUAUGGGCUCUUCAUCUCAAGUCGAGAAGAGGGAAGCCGAUUAAUAAGAAAUACCGUCGUUGAGAACGCUUCCACCCAAUAGUGCCGAGGCAUGAAAGCCUCAAAUAACAUAGCAAGACCAAGUUCCACAAUAUUACGAUGCUUCCGUUCCGCUACGCCAUUUUGUUCUGGCAUGGCAGGACAAGACAUUUGAUGUUUUAUGCCAUUCAUGGCCAAAAAAUCAAGAAAUUCUUUGCUAGAAAACUCACCUCCACCGUCCGAUUGAAAGAUUUUUAUUUUUCUGUCGAGAGGCAUCUCGACGAACUUUUGAAAUUUUACGAAGCAAUCAAAAAAUUCAGACUUUCUUUUCAAAGGAUAAUACCAAAUAAAACGAGAGAAAUCGUCAACAAAAAUCACAUAGUAUUUAAAUCCUUGCACGGAGCAUAUAGGAGACGGUCCCCACAAAUCACAAUGAAUUUUAAAUAGUAGCUCAGAAGAGAUUUGAGUAGAAUUAGAGAAAGGGAGUUUUGAAGAUUUACUCAUUUGACAACUAGAGCAAAUAUAAGACAUAUUGUUCCAUUUAUUCACUCUAAUAAGAUUAUUAUUAUAAAGAUGAUGCACAAUAUAUACUAGAUUGCGGAUGUCCCAACCGUCGAUGCCAAGUUUCUUUGGGUGCAACUUGCUGUCUAUUUGAAAAGUAGGCUUGAAUCACUUGUUUGCUAUUAUUCAACGAAUAUAGUCCUCCCUUUCUAUUCCCCAAUGUAAUCACUUUUUCCGUUCUCCUGUCCUUUAUCUGAAAGUCAUUACAAUUAAAUUCAAAGAAGCAAGAAAACUCCGACAUUAGUUGUGAUACAGAUAAUAUGCUCUUUUUCAUUUCAGGAACUAAUAAUACAUCAUGCAAAGAUAUAGAGUCAAAUUUUGUAGAGAUAUUAGAAUUCCCCACAUGUGAUAUUUACAAUCUUUGGCCGCUUCCCACCGUAACAAAAUCAGAACCGUAGUAAGGAGUGAGAUUCUGAAGCUUACUAACGUCACCUGUUAUAUGGGUUGUUGCUCCAGUGUUUGGAAUCCAAUCUGAAUCUUGAGUUUCAGAAAUGCUCAUGGAUGCAUGUGCUUUUGGGAUAUCUUCUGCCUGAUCCUGAUAUGAAUGAUUAAAACGAUGCCAACAAUGAAGUGCAUCAUGGCCACAUUUUUUGCAGAUCUGACAAGCCACCACAUUGUCAUUUGUUUUGUUUUGGAAUUGAUUUGAUUGUGCUUGUGGGAAAUAACCAUCUUGUCCUCGACCACCUUGCUCCUGUGUUGGUUUUUGUUGCAUGGUACCUUGAGGAGAGCCACGUCCUUCUGAAGUAAAACGUUGUCCACCUUGUUUAAGUGGAUUAGGUUUCUUUCGAUAAUUCUUUCCUCCGCUAGUGGAUGGGUGGCCAUAGAAAGCCAUUGAAUGAUUUACAUCAUCAUAAUGACUUUUAUUUCUUAAUUCAUGACUUUGCAAUAAAGGUAUGAUUUCAGUAAAAGCAGGGAUAGAUGGUUUCAACAUUGUAGUAGUAAAAGAUUCAUACUUUGAGCCCAAACCAUUGAGUAAAGAGAAUAUUUUGUUUUAUCAUCAACGGGCUUACCAAUGGCAUUAAGCUCAUCAUAUACAGAUUUGAAAUGGCGAAGAUAAUCUGCUAACGAGUGUGAGCCCUUUUUGAUUAGUCAUAACUUUUGCAGAAGUUCUAACUUCCAAGCUUGAGAAUCUUGCGCAAAAGAAUUCUCUAGUGUACUCCAUACCUCGUCUGAAGUCACUAGCCCGACCACCAAACCAAGCACCUUUUCUGAUAAGGUGCUUGUGAUCCAUGCCUUCACCACCCAGUCCGUGCGAACCCAUGAUGUGAAAUCUAGAUUCACGAUUCGGCUUUUGCCAUCAUCCGAAUCAAUCUCACGAGCUGGUUGUGGCGUUUCGCCGUUGAUGAAGCCCACCACAUCUUGACUCUCGAUUAGCGAAAAAAUUUGAGUUCACCAUAGCAAGUAAUUUGAUUGGUUGAGUUUGAUAGAAACAAAAUUCAGAAGGUUAAUAGAAGCUAGAUAGAGAUAGGGAGAGGUAGAAGUAUUUGUCAUGAUCAAUGGCUCUGAUAGUAUGAAGAAAAGUAAGAAGUGAAAGACUUAGAAAAUAUUUGAAUGGUUUCUCUCCUUGUUGAGAGUAUUCCUUAUUGUAGUAAAAUAUAUAGAAGUUACAAAAUGUUACAAAUGGUAUGAUAUGCAUAAAAGAAAACAAUUUGAAAUAAUAAAAUACAAUCAUAGUUUCCUUUCUUGAGUGGUUGAAAUCAAUCUUGGUUGAGCACAAAUGAUCCUUCACGAGAUUUGAUCAACCUUGCUAAUUUAUCUCGUGAUCAUGAGCAUUUCCUUUUUGAUGAGAAUCUUUAUCAAAUGAUCCUUCACGAGAUUUGAUCAACCUUCCUAAUUCGUCUCUUGAUCAUGAGCAUUUCCUUUUUGAUGAGAAUCUUCAUUAAUUCUCUUCCUCCAUUUUCAACUUGAGUUCUCAGCCCACAUCCGCGGGUUCUCUCUGAUUAGUCCCCAUCCGUGCAUCUUUCUUGGUUGUGAUCCUCAGUCUUAUCAGUGCGUACGCCACUCACGAUAGCCACGUCCCUAGGCAAUCGUGAGUAAAAUUGUAAUUUUUUCUUUAAUUUGACCCCAUUACUUCAUUUAACUCAUUGCUUCACUUUUUUUUUCCAAUAUUUUGUAGUAUUUUGAGUAAAAUAAUAUUUUUUUAAUUGAGGUGAAUUAUUUUAAUAUUUUCUCACUGAUUUGGACUACGAUCAACUAGUUAAAAGAUGACGCAUUUUUAUUAUAAUUCUAUUUUAUUGAAAAUUUUCUAUUUUUUACAAUUUUUUGGUAUUAAUAGAAUUUUUCUUUUUUGAAUAGGUGGAUGUAUAGGUCAUGAAAUUACUAUUCCUUUUAAUUUUCUUAAAUUUAAUUUUUUUUCAUUUGAAACAAUUUUAUUGAUAUUUUAUCUAGUUAUUUUCCUCCCUAAUUAGGUAUUCAAGUCUCUCUGUUAUAGUGAUAUGAAGUUUUUUAUAUUUUACUUUUUUUACUUUUUUUAGUUUUAUAUUUAACAGUAUAUGAGAGUAAAAUUUGAUAAAUUAAAUAUUGAUUGUGUAAUUAUUUUGUUUGCUUGAAAUGUUAUAAUCAAAUGUUUAUAUUAUUUUCUUUUGCCGUAAUGGUACAUUUUUAGGGCUCAGUAGAAUGGUGCAUAUACAUUAUAACUUUAGACGUAUCAAUUUUGAUAAAUAUUUUGUCCCUUCACCAUUAUUCUAAUUUUGUAUUCCGACUAAAUAUGAUGUGUUAUAGGCUACCAAUUUUCUUAAAUAUCUGGGCACACAUAAUUUUAAUUGAUGAUAUUUUAGAUGGGUGAAGAAAGAAACUAUGAGGUUAGAGACGUAAAUAUUUCGGCACCAGAAAUUAGGAUAGUUUUCAAUAAUUUUGAAGCAGUUUUAAAUUUCUAUAAGCAUUAUGCACAAUAAUUAGGAUUUGGAACUGUAAAAAGGUUUAUAAGCAUUAUGCACAACAAUUAGUAUUUGAAAUUGUAAAGAGAUCAACUAAAAUGACUGAUGGCAAAACUACAUAUGUAAUAAUCGUAUGCUCUCGUCAUAAAAAAGUGCAUUGGACCAUAACUAAUUGUAACAACCCAGUCCACUAGCAACAAUAACUCGUUGGGUCCAGCAUUGGACCAUGACUAAUUGUAAUGACCGAGCUCACUAGCAACAAUAACUCAUUGGGCCCAAACCAUCAGCCCAAACUGUUUAAACCCAAUUAUUAUUACUAGUGUCUAAGUCUCUUAUAUACCCAAUCACAUCUCCAUUCCUAUUCAAUGUGAGAUUAUUGGGGUGUGACAGACUCCCCCCAUUAAGGUCCUGACGUCCUAAUCAGUCUAAUCACACACACACAGCCGACGAUCACCACGCGAUGUGAGACUCGUCUCGCUAGCCUUGUCAUCCAAACCCUGACAUAGCCGAUCAUCUUGUCUUUCCGACCCUGGCUCAGUCGAGACUCGCCACCAGUUAUUAUUACUAAUGUAUAAGUCUCUUAUAUAUCCAAUCACAUCCUCAUUCCUAUCCGAUGUGGGAUUACUGGGGUGUGACAUUAAAAGUAUUCUAUUAUGCUAUAAGAGUGUAAAAUUGCAACGAAUACAUAUUCACAUUCAAACGAAUAAAAAUUAAAACCUGAUAAGAGUGUUCUAUUAUGCCCUAAGAAUGUUCUAUUACAGCAUAAGGGUGUAAAAUUAUAACGAAUACAUGUUCACAUUCAAAUAAACAAAAAUUAUAACCUAAUAAGAUUAUUCUAUUGUGCCCUAAGAGUGUUCUAUAAUAUUAUAAGAGUGUAAAAUUGCAACGAAUAUAUGUUCGCAUUCAAACAAAUAAAUUAAAACAUGAUAAAAGUGUUUUAUUAUACCCUGAGAGUAUUUUAUUAUGGCAUAAGAGUUUAAAUUACAACGAAUAUAUGUUCGCAUUAAAACAAAUAAAAUUAUAAUCUGAUAAGAGUGUUCUAUUAUACCAUAAGAGUGUUUUACUACGACAUAAGAGUUUAAAAUUACAACGAAUACAUAUUCGCAUUAAAACGAAUAAAAUUAUAACCUGAUAAGAGUGUUCUAUUAUAUCUUAAGAGUGUUUUAUUAUAUUAUAAGAGUAUAAAAUUGUAACGAAUACAUAUUCGCAUUCAAAUGAACAAAAAUUAAAAUAUGAUAAGAGUGUUCUAUUAUAUUCUAAGAGUGUUCUAUUAUGGCAUAAAGGUGUAAAAUUAUAAUGAAUAUAUAUUCGCAUUCAAACGAAUAAAAUUAUAACCUGAUAAAAGUGUUCUAUUAUAUCCUAAGAGUGUAAAAUUACAAUGCAUAUAUAUUCGCAUUAAAAUAAACAAAAAUUAAAACAUGCUAAAAGUGUUCUAUUAUGUCUAAAGAAUGUAAAACUUGAUAAAAGUGCUCUAUUAUGCCCUAAGAGUGUUCUAUUUUGUCAUAAGAGUGUAUAAUUGCAAAACAUGUUCACAUUCAAAUGAACAAAAAUUAAAAUUUGAUAAGAGUGUUCGAUUAUAUCAAAAUAGUAUAAAAUCUGAUAAGAGUGUUCUAUAUUACGGCAUAAGAGUGUAAAAUUACAACGAAUAAUGUUCGCAUUCAAAUGAACAAAAAUUAAAACCUGUGCCCUAAGAGUAUUCUAUUAUGUCAAAAGAGUGUAAAAUUGUAACGAAUAUAUUUUCGCAUUCAAACAAACAAAAACUAAAACCCGAUAAGAGUAUUUUGUUAUGCCCUACGAGUGUAAAUUUGCAACGAAUAAAUAUCCACAUUCAAACAAAUAAAAUUUAAUCAUAUAUGUGAUUAUAAACUAUAUAUGUGUGCGUGACACUAUACUAUACAAGUAGCAAUUCUACAAAUACAAACAAAAUAAUCAUUUAUAGGAGUGUGCAAGCUACAAUGUUCCGUUUCAAGCAGUGUAGCAAAGUAACUACUAAUACCUCAUAGCACCAUUCUACUAAUCCAUAAGAGAAUAUAUUAUUAAUACAUGUUUCCUAUAUAUUUUUUUUAUUCAAACGAACAAAUCUUAAUCAUAUGUGUCAUCUAUAAACCGUAUGUGUAUGUGUAUGACUGUAGUAUACAAGUGAAAAUUUCUAAACCCUCAUCCUAUAUUAUGAAUUAUAUGGAUACAAAUAAAAUAAUAUGUACCAGUAAAUUUGUGUAACACUAUUCUACCAAUCCCUAAAUGAGAGUGUAUAUUUGCACUGAAUACAUGUUUCACAUUCAAACAAACAAAAUUUAAAACAUCACAGUACUGUUAAUUAUGCCGUAAUUAGGUAUAUUUGUAAUGAAUACAUGUUUCCUAUCCUAAACCAAACAAAAUUUAAUGAAAUACGUGAAGUAUAAUUAUGUGACUGUGGAAGCAACUUCUAAAUUCUAAACCCUAAUUCUAACUCUAAAUCCUGAAUUUAUAUAAAUGCAACCAGAAACAAUAUAUACUAGCAGUGUUUUAAAAUUGAGUGAAUCUGCUACUCAGUGACGAAGUUCGCAACACGACAAAGGUGAAUGUGAAGAUGGAACCCUAAACCCUAAAAAUAGAAAUUUUAUAUUAAAUAAAAAAAUUGAAAGAACAAGAUUGUAGAAAUUAAAAGAGUGUCCUGUUUGGGUUGAGUCUCCUGUUUGGGUUAUGGCCAAGAGGUCAGAAAUCGCCCCCAAUUUUGGGCGCCCACGAGCGAAUGAAUGAGUGGCAGGUCCUGGGAUGGACAGGAGAGUGGUUUGGAGCGUCGUACAAGCGAUUGAGAGGUGAGCUCCUAUAAUGAAGAGAUGCAAGGGCGAGAGAGAGUUCUGAGAAGAUUGGAGCAGGAUUUUCUAUAGAGCACAAGAAUGUGUGGAACGAAACAACUGCGACGUAGAGGCGAGCUCCUGCCCGAUGGAGAGAGGCGAGAGCAAGAGAGAUGCGAGAGCGCGAGAGAGAGGCGAGUGCGAGAGAUAGAGAGAGAGGGAAUGCUUGAAACCUGAGAAAAGGGGGUGAGAUUAUACCAGUCUUUAGUGACCAUUUAAUCUCAACCACCAAUUCUUUAGUUGUAGUAUGUACACCCCAAACAGGAGUGUACAGGUAUCUUUUUCUUUUUUUUCCCUACAUAAGUCCUAACGUUUUUAAAUAUACUCCUGCUGUUAUGAUCCAUUAAAAAAAUAUAGUUGACCAUAAGUAAAAUACUUAACCGUGGUUAAUGGAUGAGUUAAAUUGAUCUUUUUAAACCUCUUAUAUUAUUGGGUAAAAUAAUUUUUGGGAGGAUGUCUUUGCAUAGCUCUAGCAGCUGAGACUUUUGGAGAGAUAUAUUUUUAAAAGAAACAAUAUCAUUUCACUUAUCUGCUGUUAAAAAAUAAAUAGUGCUCUAACGGUAACAAACCAAAGGAACAAAUAUAAAUAUCAUUGGAUAUUUUCAGGGAUAAAAAUAAAAAGUUGAACUUUAUAGGAAUAUAUCUGCUAUUCGAUAUAUUUACAAAAAGUUAUGUGCAAUUAACCGAGUCUUAUAAUAUAAGUGUAAGAUUUAUACCUUAGGCUUCCUAUUGCAAAGAUUUUUCCGCUAUAUUAAUUAGUCUUAUCAUUUUUUAAAUUCUAAGACCGACCGUCCCUAGAGCAAGUGGCAAAGGGCUUGGUGGUUAGUACCUGAGACCCAAGUUCGAAUCCUAGUUGAUUCAUAUAUUUUGCUAAGUUUAUUUCUAAAUGAAAUAAACAAAACGGAUAACGUGCUACCUAUCGUCUCCAAAAAAAAAAAAUCACAGCUCAAGAUUUAUGCUUAUAAUAUAAUAAAUAAUAAAACAUAACUUGUGUAAUGUUAGCUUUUUUUUUAUUAGUAAAGAAACACUUGUGCACCUGGUGCAUACAAUAAUUAUUUAUUGACAGGAGCUAAGACGAAUCUUAGUUGCACUUGCCAUGGAGUAGUUGGGACGGCAGCUGUUCUUCCCCGGAAUUUCGUAGGCCGGACGACGGGACACUCCCCCCCCCCCCCCCCCCCCCGGCCUCUUCUCUCUCUCUCUCUCUCUCUCUCUCUCUCUCUCUUCUCGGCCUUUAUGCCGGCCACUGCCCAAUCACCGUCACCCUCCUGCGUAAGAAUUUAUUACGCGCACCCAGCGUAUUCACAUAUCUCACGCACCGUGUAUAAUUUUUGAAGACCUUAAUAAAAUCACAAUCCUAUCCUGUUCAAUAAAUACAGUGCGCAUAAUACAAUAGGAAAAAUAUAUAUAAUAAAUAUAUUCUUUUAAGUCAACUUUGCAUAUACAUUUUUAUAAAAAUUCAGUGAUAUUCAUAUUUGACUCCUGACUUGUUACCGUUAGAAAUAAAUAAAAAAAUAAAAUUUUGUAGGAAUAUAUAUACUACUCGAUAUGUUUAUAUGGAGCCGCAUGCAAUUAAUCCGAAUAUAUAAAAUCCGCUGAGAAUCCUCGUCCAAAAUGUUAGAGGACAUUGUAUGUAUAGAUGUAUGCAGAGUGUACGGAAUGUAAUUGUACACCGGGUGCACGCAAUAAGUUCUCCCCCUUUGGAGCAGUUGGGAGCAGAGAUACAGUUGCCCCUCCCCCCCUCCCACUCAUCCGCCGCCACGUGUCACGCUCCCAUUUCUCCUGUAGAAUACUCUAUACUAGGACUGUACCGGUACUCCUAACUAAUCCCGUACUAAUCGCAGAGAGAAAUUGCGAAUCUCCCUCUCACUCUGCUCCCAUGCCACACAAUUUGUUGCGUCAUUUGGAAUUUUGGUUUCACUGAUUUCUCGCAGCUGCGAUGCUUGACAUGGUCAAGCUGAAGCUCCGCGCCUUCCUCUCCCGCCUCCGCUGGCCCGCCUCCACCCCCCGCUGCCGCCGCCAACGCCGCCCCGCAAAGCCCGCCGUAGUCGUCCGCCAAUUCGGCCGGCCGAACCCCAACAUCGACGACGACGCCGACGACGCCGCAGAAUCAAUGGCUAAGCCCAACACCUCGAAGAGCGCCGUAGUACAACUCCGUCUGGCCACGUUCAACGCCGCCAUGUUCUCCAUGGCGCCCGCCGUCUCGGCAGACCACGACAUCCGGUGCAAGUCGGCCAACGACCGGCCCAAGGGCAUACUGAAGCAGCAGAGCUUGGGGAAGUCGAAGCUGCGGGUGUCGAUCAACCUCCCCGACAACGAGAUCUCCGUCGAGAGGACCAAGCAAUUGAGGGAGAGAGCUCCCUCACAAUGUUAUUACGGCUUCGGUUCCCCGAGAUCGCACUGCGGUGCGGAGCGGAGCAUGCUGGACGUGCUGCGGGAGGUCGGGGCGGACGUCAUCGCGCUGCAGAACGUCAAGGCCGAGGAGGAGAAGGCGAUGCGGCCGCUGUCGGACCUCGCAGAGGGGCUCGGGAUGAAGUUCGUGUUCGCCGAGAGCUGGGCGCCGGAGUACGGCAACGCCAUCCUGUCCAAGUGGCCCAUCAAGCACUGGAUGGUUCAGAAGAUCUUCGACGACACCGAUUUCAGGUGUGUUCAUGCAUGUGCUCUCUCCCUUUUAUUUUUUCCUGUUUUAAUUUGUUCUUCUGAUUGAUGUUGGAAGUAAGAUAUUGUUCAGAGCUCUUUUUAGUGAACUAUUUGAACGGAAUUACUGGUCCUGAUAAGAAGGUUGAUCUUGCCUGAUCUUCUAUUUACUUUUGAGAGCAGUACAGUAUCUACCUUUGUUUAAAGCUUUUCAGAAUUUUAUCAGUUGGCUGGCUAUUAUUGCAUUAUAAAUACGAUACCAAAAUAGCUAUAACACUUCUAUUCAUGUGCACGACGAGAUUAAGCGGACAUAGGAAUUGAACUAAAAACUCUUAAAACUAAAAAAGCACACAGCUCUGAUACCAGACAAUCCAAAAGAAAAAAGUUUUUAGAAGAGCCUUAACAAUUAGCACUAUAGAAUUCGUAAUCAUAAGUCGUGAAUGUAUGAGUAUCCACACAAAAUUCUGAUUUCAGACGCUCUUAGUCGGUACGAUUCUUCAUACUUUAGUCCUGGACAGAUAGGAAAAGAAGGGAAAUUUUCUCCGUGAAAAAGGUGAGCACUUUUUUCCUGGUCGUAUUUAUUCCGUAAGCAUUCAGUGUAAUCAUCUAAUUUUCAAUGGUUCAAGAAAAACCUUUCUCAGAACAGAUCUGUACAUUCAGCUUUAGUAGGCAAAGCACAAUGUUGACAAAAGUGUCUUCUUAGCAAGGAUUAGGUAAGCCAUCCAUGUUUAAAUUGUAGAAUAUUAAGUCUAACUACUAUACUAAUCGAAAAACACAAGUACUAACUACUAUGUCCUGCUCCCACUAAUAAAUCAGCAAUAAUUGAGAAGUUUGUUUACCAGCUCAGGCAUUAAAAAAAAUGUUUCAGAAAUGUUACUCAGAGAAGCUUCUUUUCACAUGCAAAAAGUUUAGGUUCAUUGUCCUGUCAAAGUUAAAAAUUCUAAUUACUGAUAGAAUCUACAUGCUUUCCCUGUUGCUCAUUGGAUCUCUAAAUUCACACAGACACUGUUGAUCUGCAAACAGGAAUGUGUUGAAGGCCACAAUCGAGAUACCGAGAGUGGGGGAAGUGAAUUUCCACUGCACCCAUCUCGACCACCUCGACGAAAACUGGAGAAUGAAGCAGAUAAACUCGAUACUUCGGUCCAGAGACGGGCCGCAUAUCUUAGCCGGAGGACUAAACUCUCUCGACGAGACAGACUACUCGGCAGAAAGGUGGGCGGAUAUCGCCAAGGUGAGUCGGCUUUCUGCCGUUUCCCCUUCGAGUAUCCGAGUAUAUUCGAUUUCACAGUAACUUUUUGUGUGCAUCUUUGUAUUAUAGUACUACGAAGAGAUUGGAAAACCAAAACCGAAGGUGGAGGUUAUGAAGUACCUGAAGGGAAAGCAGUAUGUGGAUGCCAAGCACUUCGCAGGAGAAUGUGAAGCUGUAGUAAUACUUGCUAAAGGCCAAGGUAAGCAAUACCUGCUGUAAACUAAGGUCUCGUGCGGCACCGCUUACUGCUUACGUUAUUCCUGUGUUUGUUAGUUUGAUUGAUCACUCCAAAUGGACGUCGGUUGGAUUGUUUGCAACCUAUACAUGUAUAGAUAUAGACAUAUCCAAUCGUUUGAAAUUUGAGUUUAACAAAAGCAUUUGUAGCAUGGGAUUGAAAGAAAAUAUGUUGUGAUCAUUUUGGUUCUUUCACGUUUAAUGUUCUUUAAUUUCUUUCUGACGACAAAUUGCAGACGUGCAAGGGACAUGCAAGUAUGGGACGAGAGUAGACUACAUAUUGGCGUCGCCAUAUUCGCCAUACAAGUUUGUCCCAGGAUCCUACGGAGUCCUCUCAUCAAAGGGAACUUCAGAUCAUCACAUCGUCAAAGUCGACGUUACUGUCGACAGAGCAGACGACGAAAACGGCGGCAGACGCCGGCGACACCCGAAACAGAGAGUAGUGAAGAUGGAUAAGGCAUCCUCCAGAGGUAUAUGGGGAACUAGCUAAGAAUUGUGGAACUCCUGCCUUUCUUGUUGUUGUUGUUGUUGUUGUUGUUGUUGUUGCGCUGUUUGUAAGAUUCUCCCACAUCUUAUUUUAUGCCCAGUGGUGGGUCUGUGUGUAAUAGAGAGAUAGAGAGAGUGUAUGAUUGCAAGGAUCAGCUAACCAGGGGAGGGAACUGUAUAUUUUUGUUUCCCUUACCGGCUGCUGCAGUUGUUCUUUUACAUUGAGAGAUCGAGAAAAAGCAAUGCAUGAAUUUUUUUGUGAAUGAUCAACCAAAUGAAGGGAUGUAUAUAAUGUUACAUCUGCCUUGUGGCAAUUUAAGUUGGUGGAUCGUAAAAGGCUUGAACGAAGAAUGAGUAUUACCAGUGCGUCUGGUUUGUUCUAUGAAAAAUUAUCAGGAACGAAGGAAUUCCUAAGAAUUUGAUUUCUACUCAUUUUAUUACUAAAUAUGUGACAUUAUAGUGUUUGGUUCGCAUAAUUAUAUUAUUUGAGAUUACUAGAAAUAUAAAAUUAACAUGCUCGUCUUAUCAAUUAAUUUCAAGUAAUGUUACCAGUAAUAUAAACACCUUUUUUUUCAAUACUCACAAGAAAUCUGGUUUUAGGUUAAACUGAAGUAGCUUAGCUUAGAGAGAGAGAGAGAGAGAUUUGAGGCUAAAAGUAGUAAGAGCUGAGAUUAGACAGAGGGGGUUGAGAGAGUUUCCAGGUUAGAAAUAUGGAGAGAUAAAGAAAGAAAGUUAAGCUUACAGAGAGAGCGAGAGAAAUUGGGAGUGAGAGAGAUUUGAGAUUAGAGAGAGAGAGAGAGAGAGAGAGAUCUAGAGAGAGCAUUAGAGAGAGAGUAUAAUUAGAGAAAUUGAGGGGAUAUAAGAAUUGAGCUUUCAUGCUUUUAAAAGUACAAAGUCAUUGAUGCUUGUAAGUUUGUAGCUCUUGGAUUAAGAGAUGUGCGAUUAGGAUGAUAACGGUCCCUAGAGUUGAGUGGGUGGUUGGUUGAAUAAUAUAAUCUAAUAGACAGAAAUGAUCAAAAGAAUAAAUUUAACGAUAAAAAAGUUACAAGCAUCAAGUGCUUGGUUCUUUUAUAAGGACCAUAACUGAACUCAAGAUACAGUUCAUAUUAGUAGAAGAGAUAGAAAAAUAGAGUUAGAGAGAGAAAGAGUGAGUUUAUGUUCAGAGGAAGAUGAAGUUGGAGAGAGAAAAGAGAUGGGAUUAGAGAGACUCAAAACGAGAACAUUGGGUGAUGGAGGCGGAGAGCAAGAAAAAAAUUAGAUUGGAUUAGAAAUUUUAUAAUUACCCUAAUUCAUUAAUACGAGAAUAUUUAGAUUUUUUUUAAAAAAAAAUUGAGAUUAUUAUUUUGACGCAAAUUUCAUUCCUAAAUAUAUCUAAUACUACAAAUCAAAUUACUUGAUACAUUUAAUUGAAUAUCAUCGUAACGUGAACCAAACACACCCUAUAAAUUAUUAUGAAGGUCAAAUUUCUAAAAUCAGAACAUGCAUGACUCCCCUAGCAAAUGGGUGGUUCAAGUCACCCAACUCGACUUGUAUAUAGGGAUGCAAACGGAUCCGGAUUGGUGGAGCUCCUGCCCCGAUCCGUCCCGACGGGGACAGUAAAUGGGAGAAAAUAAACGGAUUCGGAGCAAGAAACGGAAUAAAUUUUAUGAUCCGAGGCGGAUUCGGGACAGAAAAUAGGAGAAAUUUUGACUUGCCCCGAAUCCGCCGCACCAUGAUCCGCCCCGAAUCCGACCCCGAAUCUGCACCGAAAAUCAUUAUAUUUUAGAAAAAUAUUCUUAAAAAAUAAUGUAUUUACAAAAAAAGUUCAAAAUACAAAUAAGUUAGUACUCUCAUUUCUAAUGUAUUUGAAACUUUUAAAUUUUGUUUUGAAUUACGAUUGAUAUUUUUAAUUUUUAUAAUUGAUAUUGUUAAAUUAUAUAAAUAAUAUUAUUAAAAAUUAUUAAUUAUUAAUUCAUAAAAUAUUAAUAAUAUUAUAAUUUUAUAAAAAAUAUUAGUUGGCGGGGUAGAUUCGGGGCGCUGGCGGAAGGCAGGUUACGAGGCUGGAGAAAUUAUAUAAUGUAUUUUUUAACCCGUCACGGAUUCGAGGCUGGAGGCGGGGCUGGAUUUUGCUAGUCGGGGCGGGAGGCAGGGCGGGGCGGGGCUCCCGCCCCCAGAUCCGCCCCGUUUGCAUCCCUACUUGUAUAACAUAUUUAAUUAUUUAAAUUACUUGGACCGUAAAAUACUAGAAAAUUAUUUAAAGCUUGAACAUGACUGAGAUGUAUGCAUAAUUAUGCACUACAAAUAUUUCAUUCACAUGUCUAAAAUUUGGGCUCGACAUAAAAUGGGUCAUUGGUAGGUAGGUCAAAAGCGGACUACAUACGCUGAUCAACAUUGACAUGAAAUAUUGAUAAACAAAUUGAACAGGCCAAACUUAAUUAAUUCAUCAUGAACUCAUGUGGCCCAAGCUCAAAUUCAAACAUUUCAAACAUUGAAAACUCUACUGUUUAAAAUUCAAAUAUAGCUAAGUAUCAAAAUAACCCAAGUACAUGUUCAAUAGAGGCCGCGAAAGAUCUCUACUUCCUAACUGACCAAUGUAUGUACAGUUGUAAUUUCUCAGGUUGGUACAGCGCAAGUCAAAUAGAAUUGUUACAAUCUACAUAUUGCUUAUACCAAUCGAAUACAUGCUGUUAAAUUCUGAGCCAAAUUGUCAGGUUCCAAAUUAUGUUAGGUUACAACUCGCGACAUAUCAAUUAUUGCUAUCUUGUUACAGAUCCUGCACUAAUCCUUCAUAUCUUUCUUCAUUUUCAUACCUAUUUUGCCAAGGACAUUAAACUAUAGAGCCUUGUAGAUUGAGUUUUUCUCUUCUUUUCUUUUUUCUUUCUUUUCCUAGACCUUAAUUUGUAUCAACAUCCUUCAUUUUCAUAUAUAUUUUGCCAAGGACAUUAAACUAUAGAGCCUUGUGGAUUGAGUUUUUCUCUUCUUUUCUUUUUUCUUUCUUUUUCUAUACCUUAAUUUGUAUCAACAUCGAUUUUGUUAACAAGGACAAAACAGCAAAUAAAAAGAUAAAAAGAGCAAUAGCUUAUUAUAAUAUAGCCUAUGGUUGAGGAGUCAUAAGUACAUCUUUUAUUUAUCAUAAUUUUACAACCAGCGAUGGCCUUCAUUAACUAAGAGCUCCAAUAUUAAUCAUUGGAUGAUUUAUAUUUUAAAUAUAAAAACGUACAAAACUUAUCUGAACUAUAAAUCAUUUUGAAUUGAUUAUCCAACCUUUUAAUUUAUUUGGUUUGAACCCGUCUACGCUACUUUGACUUUAAAGUUUAAACACAUUGCUUAUUUAGUGAGUUUAUAGUUGCGAGAAUUGAGCGAAUUAUACUGACUAAAUCUAUAAAAACACAUUAAUUUAAGAUCUAGAACCUAAAAUAUCAUGUUUAUUUAGGUGCACAAGGGGAGUGGUUGAACCACACAGAAAAUUUCCCAAUCCUGGAAUUUCUGCUCAAUUAAAAUUUCCUGCAAACCGAACUGAGAACACCCCUAAGUUAGUUUGAUUUCAGUGGACCUGAAAUAGGACCUCUACAAACCAUAAUAAACAACUAUAAAAUAGUGAUUUGAUCCUACACAUCUCAGCAAUAUAACAUCCAACUUCUGUGUCAUCCGAAAGCGCAUUUCUACAUUUUCCCAUAUCUGAUGCAAUAAUCUCCGACAGAUGCUGUUCAUUCGUUAGUAGGUAGGUAUUCUGAGGCUUAUCAUGCAUCAUUAACCUCUGCCCAAUUACAAAACUCUUCUGUUGGUUUCCAGACUCAAAACUAUUUUGAAGCUUCUUCCCCAAACCACAGAUUCUACAACAAGUUCGUACUCAUAACAUUCCACCCAUUUCUAUCAGUAAUAUCUUCAUACGUAUAUACAUAAAAGGCAUUUUGUGGCAUCUAUCAAAUCUUCAGCUCAACAAUGUAACUCGCACCUAAAAAGUUUAUUGUUAUAUGAGUUACUCCUUAUUACCGUCACCCUUCUUCACGUAGCUGAAAAUUAUCAGUAAAUAGCAUGAGAAAUGCAACAGGCAAAUGUCUAAUGGCUUUUACACAAGACAAAUAAUCAUUGAAUCUUUCAAAUACAUCCAAGCAGGACACACACCGCUCUAUGCCGGUCAACUACGAAUAAUUAUAUUCCAAAUGCGUCCAGAAAUACAGGAUUGAAAUUCAUAUAAUGUAUUGUAAGAAAUGCAAGUCUACAUGCAGAAUUAAGUUCAACAGAUUCACUCAAGAAGAAACAUAACAUACAGACACAGGUUUUUGAAACUCGGGGAAAUAAAUCACAUAAGUUUCUUCUUUUCCAGUAUCAUAAAGUAUCAGAACAUCAAAAUCUACCACAUAUUAAGUACAUCAAACAAAGGAUCAAUUCGAUGCCUCAUAUAAAUCACAAGAGGUGUGUAUCUUUCACAAAGAACUUACCUCUAUCAGUCCAUCAUUUAUUUGCUGACGUAAAUAAGAAAUUUGAUGCUAAUAAGAGGCCCCUGAACCAUUCUAGCAAAAUAUGUCAAGCAGCAGCAGCCUGCAGCAGCUCCUUUUCUGCCCGUUCCCGGAUCCUCCUCUCCAGCUCCGGCCUGAAGUGCCUGAUGAGCCCCUGCACUGGCCACGCAGCGGCAUCCCCUAGAGCACAUAUGGUGUGCCCCUCAAUCUGUUUCGUCACCUCCUGAAGCAUAUCGAUCUCCUCCAAUUUUGCAUUUCCCACCUUCAACCUCUCCAUGAUCAUCCACAGCCACCCCGUCCCCUCCCUGCAUGGCGUGCACUGCCCACAGCUCUCGUGCUUGUAGAAGUACGACAGCCUCGCUAUCGCAUCCACAACGUCAGUCGACUUGUCCAUCACUAUAACCGCCGCAGUUCCCAACCCCGAUUGAACAGCCUUCAAUGCAUCGUAAUCCAUCAAAACAUCAUCGCAUAUGUGCUUCGGUAGGAGAGGAACAGAAGAACCCCCAGGUAUAACAGCAAGCAGGUUAUCCCAUCCUCCUCUCACACCACCGCAGUGCCUCUCUAUCAACUCCUUGAGAGGAAUGCUCAUCUCCUCUUCCACCGUGCAAGGCUUGUUCACGUGACCAGAUACGCAGAACAGCUUUGUCCCUGAGUUGUUCUUCCGACCAAAACUUGCAAACCAUUCGGGGCCCCGCCUAAGGAUAGUGGGAGACACGGCUACAGUUUCCACAUUCGUGACAGUUGUAGGGCAGCCAUAUAGACCGGCAUUAGCCGGGAAAGGUGGCUUAAGCCGCGGCUUCCCUUGUUUGCCUUCAAGGCUCUCCAACAGAGCAGUCUCUUCACCACAGAUAUAAGCACCAGCACCAAAGUGUAUAUGCACAUCAAAGUUGUAUCCGGAUCCACAAGCAUUCUUUCCCAACAGUCCCGCUGCAUAUGCUUCUUUCCUUGCCUUUUCGAGGUUAUGACGCUCAUUAACAUACUCCCCUCUAAUAUAGAUGUAAGCGGCUGUAGCCCUCAUACCAACUCCAGCAAUCAGGCACCCUUCAAGCAGUUUGUGCGGGUCAUGGCGCAUGAUCUCUCUGUCUUUACACGUGCCUGGUUCACUCUCAUCAGCAUUAACGACAAGAUAGGAAGGGCGGCCAUCCGAUACCUUUGGCAUGAAUGACCAUUUGAGACCAGAAGGAAAGCCAGCUCCUCCACGGCCUCGAAGGCCAGAUUUCUUCAUUUCAUUGACGAUCCAAUCAGCUCCCUUCAGCACCAGAUCCUUGGUCCUGUACCAGUCACCUCGCUUCAUUGCACCCUUAAGGAAAGGGUCAUGCAAGCCAUAAAGAUUGGUGAAGAUGCGGUCUUCGUCCGAAAGGCCGCCAAAGUGGGUUUUCUCUACCGGCGGUGGUGGCGGUGGAGCCUGUGGAGUAGUUGCAGUUGUUGUGGCCUGGGUGCUGAAGAACCUAUGAGAAGAACCCAACCUCUCACUGUUAAAAUGACGAACCAAUUGUGCCUUUGGUAGAGACAAAGGGUUCUUGAUAGAUCCCUGCAGAGAUGUAAACAUAUAAAUUCAAUGACUAGCUCCUAUUCUGUUACAUUUUUAACAUUUUACAGCAAGGAUUGAAGUGCUGCCCGUGCCGUACGGCACGGGGGCGUGCCGUCGGUACAGGGGGGGGUCCGAGACCCCCCCUCUGUCUGGCGGCACGCACCUGCGUGCCGCUCGAGACAAAGCAGCACGCAGGUGCAGAGCGGCACGCAGGUGCGUGCCGGCGGCACGUACCAUGCGUGCCGCCAUUUUUUUUUUUUUUCCUUUUGGCUUUUUUUUUUUGGUUUUUUUUUCUUUUGUCCUCUAGGGUUUGGAGCCCCCCCUCCCCCCCUCCCCUCUUGGGCCACCUAUAUUGUCAUUUUUUUCACUUUGUUGUCUUUUUUUCAAUUCUUUUUUUGCUUUUUGGCGGAUACCUUUUUUUUAACUUCUUAUUUAUCAAUAUAGGAGCAAAUUUUUAAUUGACAUAGGCGAUCCACCACAGACAUCCAAUUUUUCUUUCACAAAAAAUUUUGUCAAAAUUUGUCGCACCGCGAAACUUUCGAUAAAUCAAAGGAACAAAAAUCAAUUUCCUAAACAAAUUUUGAUCAGAUAUUUUUAAAAAGAAUAAAAAAACAAAAAAUAUAGAUGUAAUAUUGGGAAUAUAUGAAUUUCUCACAAUACCAGCAAUACUUAUAUCAAUAUUGUCAAAUAAAUCUUGUAUCUGCAGAUAACAAUAUGCCAUAUGAUCCAGCGCGACGAUCUAUGUGGAAUUAAGCAGUCAUCUCUAUGUAAAGAUGUAAAUUUAAAUAAUUAUUAUACUUGUGAAUUUUAUUAUUAUAUUUUAAUUUCAUUCUACAUCAGGUAUAGCUGUACUUUGCUUACAAAAAGUUUUCAUGCAUGUUAAUUGAUGAGUAUAGUAAGGUAUAUAUAGUAAAUAUUCAUAAUUAUUUUGUUUAAAUCUUUCAAAAUAAUAUUAUAAGAGUUUAUUGGAACCAAAAAAACUAAAAUAAGUCCGUGCCAAAACGUGCCGAUAGGAGGUCAUGCGUAUCUAUCGGCACGCAAGCGUGCCACGUGUCGGCACGCAAGCGUGCCUGUGCCGUACCGUGCCAGGGACAUAACGGCACGCCCCCGUGCCACGGCACUUUAAACCUUGUUUUACAGGUUAAUGACAACUAACUAAGUAAUGCACCUAGUAUACAUUGUUGUUCAAAGCAUAAAGAUGUUUCAGAAAUUGAACUGUUGUAGCAUACUUGGAAAAUUAAUGCACUAAAUGAACUAACUGCAUAAUCAUCGGCCAUGACCACUCUUCUUGGAGAAAGGACAUGGAAACCUCUCUGGUGGUCUCCAACAAAUUUAAUACAGUAUUGUGAAGAGUUUGGUAUCUAACUACUGCAGCAAGCACAUCCCUUUAGAAACUAUUUCAUACAAUGGUUAAUAUUUGCAAACGCAGUAUAUGAGAUAGUACAGGAUAUCAAAGAAGAGGAACCAUGAGGCACAGCCAUCAGAUCCAGGACCAACAGCACGGGAAAGCAAGUGUAGUGACAUUAAUUUAGAGCCAACAGGAAGGGGUUCAGCUUUUCAGAGUAGCAAUGGUGGCAAUGUGAUGAAGUUCGAAGGUGGUGUCAAGGUGUUCCAGUAGAAGAAUAGGCCUGAAGAGAUGACUCAAGGCCAGAAACAGUGUGUUGCCAGAACAACGGCUUACUGUUCUCCACAUUAAUCGAAACUUGCUUUGCUCAAAGGCAUAAUUGCCCAUGCCAAAAGUCAUAUGCAUUCACGUCAAUUAUGUCACACUUCGCUGCAUCAUGGUAUUCAUGAUGCAGAAAGUAAGCGAAAGAGGCAGUGUGACGAAUGUGAUACAGGCUACACCCAUCAUGAACAACAUAAUGCAGAUGAAAACAUGGUAAAGCAGUGAUGCCUUAUUCCUCCACAUAUGUUCUAAAAUGAAUUAUUUGUAAAUGGCUCAUCUCUACAAACUUAACAUGAAACACCUUGAAAGAGAGAAACAAAAGAAAAGCUGCAUAGUCCAUGUUUAAGAAAAAUAAGGAAAAGAACAAACCAGGGGAAAAGACAACAAAGCAAUCAUAAUAACGUGAGCACAGUCUGCUUGACUAAGGCUCUGGUACAAAAUUUGAUGUGUGAACAAAGGAGGAAGCCUCAUAAUUCCAUGACAAGCCCUUAGAUUGUUAACAAAGAAAAGAUACCAUCUCGACAGGAUUAUUCACAAAUAACAAGAAUGAUAUAGACUCUCAAGUCUCAAACUAAUAAUGUUGCUACAGGUGCCCUUUGAAUGUACUUGUAGAUUAGGUGCUGUUUAUAGAAAAACACAUACGCAUUGAAAACACCAAUCAAUUAGGCUCAAAAAGAGACUUUACAGCAGCAGCUGAUUGGGAUGAGCAACCAACUGUGAGUUUGAAGAUGAAUUUUUGGAAAACCCUGAUUUUCAAUCUUUCUACCAAACUCAACAGUCAACAAUUAUCUUGAUACAUAGAGUCUCGCAAAUUUCCACAGCUACGAAAGCUUGCUUUAAAGAUUCAGAGAGGAAGAACUGCUAAAAGACUAGAGGAGAGUUACAGAUAGAGAUUAUGGCAUCAUACAUUAAGAACAAACAUAGUUGAGACCAUGACUACUCAAACCAGAGAAUGUAACUUUAAUUCAUCAUAAUUAUAUUGCCACAUAAGCGUACGUUCAAAACCUCAAUCCAAACAGAGGCAACUAGAGCACUAGAUGUCAUCAAAACCCUACUUCCAAAGUUAGAACCACAGUACGACCAUGAUUCUUCUUUCCAUCAAUGGAAUGAAACUCACAUUCACCUAUCCUAGAAUAAGUCUAGGUAUAUCACAAACCAAUUAAGCAAGUUGAAUCUUACAUUUUGAAAUUGAAAAAAUGGAAGAAGUUUCAGUUUAAUUAAACCGGGUUUAAUGUAUGCACCAAUCCCAAAAAAUACUUCACUGACAAGCUAAUAAUUUUCUAGAACUAGACAAGCACAUUUUGGAAUGCCUUAUUCAAGUUAUAUUGCUAGUUUCCUACCGUUAGGCUGUAUUGCUAGGUAGGCUGGAGUCUCAACUGUUUCGCCAUAAUUUCUGCUUGAUUCCUACUUGAGAAAAUCCAUUACAAAGCAAAUUCAUGAUUCCCUAGUACACAAUACAUGACUAGAACAAAAAUUAUGACAAGAUUGUUGCUACCCUAUACUUGACACUAACCCAUCUAAAAUAAGUUAACCCAUCGUAUUCCCUACGAAAUGAUAACUCGUGUUUUCCAAUUACACUUUAAUCAUCAACUCUCCACAGGAUGGCUAUCCAUUUCAGCCUUGCACUUCUAUCUUUAUGACCCGUAAGAAAAAGAAGGUAAGUUGUUGGAGUGAUAAGAGCUCUUGCUGACAAAAAAUUGGAAAGAACUAGUUUAAGAAAAAGCUAAACUAAAAGCGAGAUAAAUCCAUUAAAUCAAUAUCCCUAAAGAGAGAGAAUGAGAGAUGGAUUUUAAAGUGCUCAAGGUUCUGGAGAUCAACAGGAAGCUUAGAAUUCUAUUGCUGUUCCACAUUCAGGAGAUAUAGAUUGCAAAAAUUUAUUAAAUAUCUUGAUGUUAAUUUGUUCUGCAUUUCCCAUUUUCAAGUAUCUGAAACAUCAUAUGUCCACAUCUCUGUAUCAUAGGUUAUCAAGAAUUAUUUCAUGUAAGUUCUUCAUUGAAUAAUUGUAGGUUCUUUUUAUCCUAAUCUAAAUCUCUCUUUUUGAUACAAAAUAUGCAAUGCACAUGAGUGUUUGCUAGUAAUAUGACAGUCUAGAUAGAAUAUGGUGAAGUAGUUACAAAAUGAAAAGGCCAAUCAUCUAUAGCACAUGCAUAAAGAUUAACAGCUAACUAUUUAACUAGAAUGCAAUUAUUGAACCAUUAUUAGCUCUUGUAUUUGUGAAAAAGAUCCGAUAUUCACAUUAAAACGAGUGGUGUUAUUCUUGAUAAGUAGCUCUCUAAAAAUAAUAUAAAUUGUGUCUUGUCCACUCUUGUCCGCUAGGUUCCAAUAAGUUAUAGCGCUUCAAAGAUUUUUCUGUGAUACCCAUAUGAAAGAAAUACUAAAUAAUACAUAUCAGUAUAUAGGAUCCCGACGAAUUUCGUCAAGUUUCUCAGGUUUGUUAAAUUAAACUUAAAUUUUCUAAAAAGUUUAGAAUCAAAAGAAUCACAAUGUCUUCAGUCCUCAAAAGGUGGCAAAAAUGUAUCUUAUUCUUGCUGUACAUAUAUAGCUACAAUCCGCCUUGUGCACAGGAUCUGAAAGAGGGGAAAUUCAAAAAAGAGAGAGACAGAGAGAGAGGGGAAAUAAGAAAGGAAACAAGAAAACAGAUGAUUAACAAGAAGGAAGAAGUCUAUCUUGAUCAUCAUUGGGCUAUAUUCUACAUAUGAUUGUUUUAAUUGCAAAGAUAUCAUACACCAUCUAUUAUCUAGUAGUCUAAAAUCAUCUUCACUAAUUGUUCAGCGGUAUCGUAAAAUUGUAGGAGUCUCUUCCUUAGCUCUAAGAGUCAGGCUCAACCAACAAAUAAAUUCAAAACCAUAUUACGCGGUCCUUACAAGAUCUAAAGUAGAAUCCAAAUGUUAAAGUUUCCACAUCACAAUAACUUUAGAUGUAAAUGAAACGUUAAUAAAGCUAAAGACAUUGACAAGUUAGCAUCCAAGUUAUGCAUUCCAACUUAUGCAUAAGUUAGAGCAAUUGAAACUCUUAUAAUUCUAAAAACAUUCUUCUCAACUUAAAAUAGGUGAUUAAAACUAGAGGAAGAGGUUUCCGGCAACAAGCCUGAACUUCCCACGAACAAAUUUAUGAAAAGAAAGAAAAAUUACUAGCCUCUACGUAUUUUCUGGAUAUAUUUAUGCUAAAAAACGAAAUGCAUUUCAGCCAUUGUCCAAGUCAAUUAGGCAUGACCGAUUAACAAAUGAAAUGUACAUAACAAGAUAAAUAAUGCCUCAAAAGACACUUAGGGCUCAUAAACAAACUAUGGUGGUAUACCCACGAAGCGUUUUUUCUCCUUUGGAGAGAAAAAAAGAAUAGAAGGGGCACCAAUCAAAGAAGUUUAAGGUGGCUAAUAUUUAGAAAGUCCGCAUUUCUUGAUAUCUUUGAAUUGCUCAAUACAUACUGUGCAUACUCAAGCAAAUACUUGCAGACAAGGAGACUAAGCAUCCUGUAAAAUAAAUUAGGCACAUGCUGACAUUUAAACCAGAAUUACAUAAGCUUCCAAUGGACAUUACAGGCAAGUGAAAAUGCAGAUAUGUUUGCCAAGAGAUAUUAAGUAAUCCUAAUAUUAGAGAUACUAAAUAAGCAAUGCUCUGACAAAUUAUAGUACCGGAAGUAAUAUUUCCAUCAAAAACGAAGAUAACCACAAAUUUAUGACAGACAGGAGGAUCGUCUUAUAGCAUUAGCAUAUGGUUAUUAAACAUAGACCAGCACUAAUGGCGGAUAUGCAAGAACAAUGUUGCCAAGUGCUUCUAUACUACUACAGAAACAUGUCUAUCAUCUAAUCUCUAGCCUGAUGUAAUAAAAGAUUAACAAUGACGCAUGCAUGAGAACCCAACUUUAUCCAUGUUAAUUAAGUACAUAUAUAGAACGGUAGAUAUAUAGUUUGCAAGGUGACACCAUUUUGCCAAACGUUGGAAUCAAGUUAGUACAUUCUAUGGAUAAUACACCAUCUCAAUUUUACUUUCCUCAUCCCAAUAAUUGCGGGGAGAAGCAGAAAGUGGCGCAAUAUCCAAAAAGUGUCAGACAUGAAAAGAAACUUUGUUUCUAACAAAAAAUAAAUUAUCUUUUAAGCUUAAGCCCAAGUCCACAGGAUGACAAGUCAUUUCAAUCAAAUCUAAAUUUAGAUUUGUGCAAUAUCUCCGUAAUCAAGAUGGGCUUAUUACAUAUUGACCAAGCAAAUUGUGCCGAUUUGUGGCAAUCAAAUCAUCUUAAUGGUGCAUGUGGCAUCAUUUUCUUUCUUACUAUUCCCAAUGUUUGUUAGGAAAAUCAGAAGAUAGAGCAAAUAUUAGCAAUAUUUCGGAAGUAAAAUCAAAGAUAAUCUAUUUAGUAAAGAUUUCUGCUUCUAUGCCCACUAGGGCAUUAAAUGGGGGGAAAAAUUGCUUGGCAUUAUCUUUUAAUCCUGCUCCAGCAAGUUAUUUCAGUCAGAUCUAAAAAUAAAUUUCUGCAUCCAGCCUCCAUCUUUCAGGUAGUGUUAUCCGUGCAUCUAUAUAUGUUUACAACAUCUUGAACUAGGGCAUACUUAUAUGCAACAUCUCCUUAAUUGAAAUGGAUGGCAUAUUUUAUAUUCUUAUAUAUGUGAACAUAAGAAAUCAUCCUUUUCUACUGGCUACAAUCCUCAAAAUCUCUGAAUAAAUCCAAAAACAUCUGUUUGAUAUCCUCACUCUGCUAUACAAGCACCAGCUUGACAUAUUUGUCAUGUAGAAUUCCGCACCCUGCUGUAAAGUAUCUGCUUCAUAUUCUAGGCAUCCACAGAAAAGAAGAAAAGGUGCAACUCCUAUAGCCCGUUGAAGAUCCAUACUUUCAAUAGAAGCGUUAAUACACAAAAUAGGAAUCACAUACCCACUAUUCUCCCAUUUAUAUUAAUUGACUAAGAAUGUAUAUGGAGACAGGGCUCGUCAAACAAGCUACUGAUACAAACGAAGGUGUUAACUUAGAACAAAGUGGCAAAUUUUCGAGCGAAACGCAAUCUCAAACCGAAUCCAAACGCGUCGGAUACUACAGAUCCCCAAAUACUGCAGCUUCACCGGAACCCGAGAUAUCUAGGGCACUGAUUCCCUACGUCAGAUCGCCGCGAUCGCCAUAAAACCCCCAAAGAAACCUAGCUUCCCAAUUUAACAACCCAAUCGCAAACAACAAAACCGAACCCUAGAUGAAAGCGAAAAAGAUUUAGGGGAUCGGGGCAACGAAUACCUCGUCGAUGAGGGAGGCGUCGUCGGCGGCGACGCCGCGGCGGACGAGGUGAUGGUGCGCGGCGGAGAGCGUCGGCGCCAGUGCCCCGACCCUCGCCCUCGUCAUCAGAUACUUCGCGAGAGCGCUCGCCAUUUCCGGUGAUAGCUUCGAGCGAAAAGGUUUCGUUCUGCUCCGCUGCUCCUGUGCAGUAGUGUUGGAGAGGGGGGGGUGGGGGACGGCGAGACGAACGCAACAGGGCUGGCGACACUCGGGCCAGAAAGAACGUGUGGCACGCGCGCUCGCACGUGACUAGUAGUAGCUCGGCCUGUGAAAAUUAGGCCCAAACUUGAAUUUUGGAGUUAACUUGGACUCAUAUAAGAUCAGCCCAAAACCUAAUUCUCGCCGGUGGUCCGUAACCUUCACCAAUUUAUUUCACUAUGAUACCGUCCCUAGUGCAAGUGGCAAAGAACUUGAAAGUUGGUACCCGAGAUUUCAAGUUUAAAAUUCGGUUGCUUCAUAUUUUCAGCUAAGUUUAUUCCUAAAAACAAUAAACGAAACGGGUAUCAUGCUACCUUUCUCUUCAAAAUAUAUAUAUACAGUCAUGUGCUUUCGAAAGUACGGAGGCCUCCGUGUUUGUAAGUUAUUGUCGAUGAUGGGACAUCCGAUUCAGCGAUCCAUUCUGUUAGACAUGAUCUAUGCUAUUGGAACUAUUUAGAAACCAAAUUUUAUAAUUUUUUGACUUCGUUUGCCUAGUGAACAAGUAACCUCAAAAUGAACGGCUGAAAAUAAAAAUCUCAUAAAAAAAGUGAUAAUGGACUCAAAUUUCAAAUUGAAAGUAUUGUUCUUAAUUACUCUUAUGUUAAGUAGAAUUUUCUAUUAAAUUUUCAUGUAAUUUGGAUACUUUUACACCGUUGAACUUAAAAACGUGUCACAUCGGCCGUUAAAAUAGUUAUUUUUAAAAUCAUAUGAUCGCUUGGUAAAUGAUGUCGAAAAAUUAUAAAUUUUGGUUUCUAGAUAGUUUCAAUAACAUAGAUUAUGCCUAAUGAAGCCGAUAGUCAAAUCGAAUGUCAUAUCAUCAAAAAUAACUUAUAAACACGAAAACCUCUGUACUUUCGAAAGUACGGAAGACGUACUCUAUUAUGAGGCCGUUUAGAUCAGGUAUAAAGGGGGGGAUAAAGGGUUAUCCCCCCUUUAUACCCAAACAAAAAUUAGAUUGGUACAACCCGGUAUGGACUGGGAACAAGUGUUCCCACCCAGGGGUGGGAACAAGCUUGUUCCCAACCCCCCCUUCCCCCGGGUAGAGAGAGAGAGAGAGAUUUAUUUUAAUUUUAAAUUUAAAUUUAUAAAAUUUAUAAUUUUAAAUUUUAAAUAUAUAAUUUAAAAUUAAAUUUUAAAGUUUAAUUUUAAGUUUUUAAAUUUUAAAUUUGUUAUUUUAUAUCUUUGAAAUUUAAAAUUGGUCUUAAAUUUAAAAUUUGAUAUUUAAAAUUAUAAUUUUAAAUUUUAUUUCAAAUUUUAAAAUUUAAAAGUUAAUAUUUUCAAUUUUUAAUUUUAAAUUAUAAGUUUAAAAUUUUAAAUUUUAAAUUCAAUUAUAGGGAUAAUAUCAUUAUUUUCUAUUUAUAAUUAACAACUAUUCCUCUUAUUCUCAAUAACCAUCCAAACGCAAUUUUUUUAGUUCUAGCUUAUACUCACAUUUUCAUCCAAACAAAAAAAAGUACUUUUGUUCUUACAAAACCCAUACUUGUACCUAUCCCCGGUAUAACUAGUUCCUACUAAUUUCCGAACCAAACGGAGAUAUUUAUUUAUUUCACUAUGAUCUCUAAUAUCUUUUCCCAUAUGCACAAUCAUCACAUCGAGCUCAAUCUCAUUACCCUCUCAAUGUUGUCCUACGCGCCUAUAAUCGACCACCUUGAUCUCCAAUGCGACAUAUAUUACCUCUUUUAAAACAUUCGAUAUCCUUAGUGUCAAACUGAACGUGCUAUCAAACUCUUCCAAAAACUUAAAAAAGAUGGCUCUAGAAUUGACAAGAGCUAUCCGACUAUAGCCACUGUCUAUAUGCACAGGUUAAUUAGAAUUGGCAUAGCUUAUUACAUCAAAAUCAAUCAAAAUUUAAAUGGUGGAACUUAAGUACAACAAAAUUUAAGGGUUAGGGAUCUAAUAGCAAAACAAGGAAAAAAAAACUAGGGACCAAAGUAAAAAUACAGAUAACGAUUAGGGACCAAUAUGGCAAUUAGCCCAACCUGAUAUUGCAAGUCGGUUCUUGUACUUCUCUGUUGGACAGUUUAGUUUGCAACACUCACUCACAUUGUAUUUCUCAUUUCUAUUUGUCAAAAAGUUUUAACCUCUUUUACUAAGCUUGUUUACAUAAAAUAUUCAUCGGUUUUGUAUUUUUAUAAAAACAGGCCAUUUAUUUAAACUUUGCAAAUUCGGUCCAAACUUUUAGUAAAUUAGCCAAAAUAACAUUAUUUAUCUGUUCUCCUUUUUUUCGCAUCUUUCUCCUCCCAGUUUGGGGUUUUCUGAAAACUUCGCUAUCAGAAUCCUAAUCGAAAGGCCAUCAUGUUUCAUGACGCUAAGUUGCACUAUUUGAGACCAAACUGCACCAUUUGAAACUAUUUGAGAUUAUGUUUCAUCGUAUAAAAUAAAAAAUACGCUGUUUGAGACUAAGUUGUACUGGUUUAGACUUAAUUUACAUCAUUUAAAAUUAUUUGAGGCUAAGUUGCAAUUUUUGAAUGAUGCAACUUAAGUCUCAAACAUUGUAACUUAGUCUCAACUUAGUUUCAACUUAAUAUCAAACAGUGUAACUUCUAUUAUGUGGUGCAACUUAGUCUCAAAGGUUUUAGAUGGUGCAAGUUUUUUUUUGAGAGAAAUAUAGCUUGCUAUCCGUUUUGUUUAUGUUUAAAUGGUGCAAAUUUGUCUCAAUUAAUACAAUUUAUUUCCAAAUAGUACAAUUUCAUCUCAAAUAGUGUAACUUUAUUUUUUUUUCUUCUCUAUUUUUGGCUUUUUCUGUAGCGGCCAUUAGAUAUGAUGGUCUUCUAGAAAAAGAAUUUUUUUUUUUCUCUUUUGUUUCCUUUUUUCCCAUCAUUUGUAUUUUUUUUUUGCUAUUACUCUCUCUCUCUCUCUCUCUCUCUCGCUUUCUGUCGCCGCCAUCGCCCCCACCUAGAUUCUUUUCUUACAUAUAACACUACACGGGUAUCUUUAUUCUUCGACAAAAUUAUGUGUACACCUACUCACAUUAUCCCCAAAAAUAUUAAAAGAAAAAAAAUCACCUGUAAUGCUAUUUCAAUUGAACAAUUUAUAGAAUUUCAUAUCCUUUUUAUUUACUAAAAUUUUUCUCAAGAGUUUUCUAUAGAAGUCAUUAAAUAGAGGUCUUACAUUUCACAAAUCCAAAAGCCCAAAUUAGCUAGAAAAAAAAAAGUUCUAGCUAUCAAAUCCUCGGAAGCUUUUCACGACCUUUUCUCCAAGGCAAAAAAUCAAAAAAAAUGACAAAAUACCCAAAAUCCUAAUUAAGGUUAAGAGAGAAAGAUGUCCAGAAUGAAAAAGAAGCGAAAAAAAAACCUAAUUGAGGCUAAUUUAAAAAAAAAAAAGAACCUUGAUCGAGAUUUUAUUUAAACAAAAAAAACUCCAAACCUAUAAAGGAGGCUGACAAACUAUUGUUUCCUGGAUGAAAAGAGGCCUUAAGAAGAAAACUUGUUGAAAAUGAAGAGGUUAACGCGCGAUAGUCAUGGAGGUGGAUUGAAAAGGGGAAGAGUGUGGCGAAGGCAUUCGUGCGGCUGAUUGAAGAGGCGCGAUCGUGCGUGGAGAGGCAAAGCAGCGAAGAAAUUGGAAAAAGCAGAAUGAAAUGGGAAAAGGCUAGGGUUUGCUCUGGAGGGAAGUAGAUAUUAAGAGAAAAAAAAAUAAGAGCAAUAUUAAAAAGGCCGCUAGAAAUGUCUAUAUGUUCCCGAUUGCAUUUUUGUCGAGGUUAUUGUGACACCCCAAUAGUCCCACAUCGAAUAAUUAUGACUAGAUGUGGGAGUAUAUAAGCUUGAUUGCGCUAGACAUAAUAACUGGGCUUAAGCAUUUUAGGCUAGUAUUUGGGCCCAAUGAGUUAUUGUUACUAGUGGGUUGGGUCGUUAUAUUUGGUAUUAGAGCCAGUUCACCAGCCGAAAAUGUGAGAUGAGUCUUAGCUGAGUCAGGGUCGGAAUGACAGACUAAGUCACGCUCGGUGAUUGACAUGCUUAACUCUCUUAACCUCUUGGGCCUAAUCACCAUCCAAAAUGCUUAAACCGGAUUAAGAGUUCUAACCCUAUUAUAUCUUAUAUAUAGGACUAUUUUGGGUCUUACAAUCUCCCCAACUUUGAGCCCUGACGUUCUCGUCAGGCUCAAACUCACAAGUACCAGGCGAUGUGAGACUCGUCUCGCUAGCCUUGUCAUUAUGACCCCGGCUCAACCAAAACUCAUCUCACACUUUAAGAGAGUAAAGCGUGCUAGGAUGAGAGUGUUCUAGGAUGGGUGACCCCCUGGGAAGUUGGGGCGUCACAUUUGAUAUUAGAGCCAAUUACCGGGUAUUAGAGCCAAUUACCAGCCGGAAGUAUGUGAUUAGUCUCGGCUGAGCCAGGAUUAUACGGCGGAGAGAGUGAGGCUCUCAUGCUGUUGGAAGUGUAAGAUGAGUCUCGGCUCAGUCAGAAUUAUACAGCGGAGAGACCGAGACUCUCAUGCUGUUGACUAUUGUGGGUAGAGCGCGACUCCUUUACAAGGUCGGUUUAGGCUAGCGAGACGAGUCUCAUAUCGCCUGGUACUUGUGAAUCUGAGCCUGACGAGGACGUCAGGGCUUAAAGGGGGGGAGAUUGUGAGACCCCAGGUAGUCCUAUAUAUGAAAUAUAAUAGGGCUAAUCUCUUAACACGGCUAUAGCAUUUUAGACGGUGGCUAGGUUCAAGAGGUUAAGAGAGUUAAGCGUGUUAGGACUAGAGUAGUUCUAGGAUGGGUGAUCCCCUGGGAAGUUGGGGCGUCACAUUUGGUAUCAGAGCUAAUUACAAGCCGGAAGUGUGAAAUAAGUCUCAGCUGAGCCAGAAUUAUACAGCGGAGAGAACGAGGCUCUCAUGCUGUUGACUGUUGUGGGUAAAGCGCGGCUCCCUUUCAAAGUCGGUUUAGGCUAGCGAGACGAGCCUCACAUCGCCUAAUACUUGUGAGUCUGAGCCUGACGAGGACAUAAGGGCUUAAAAUGAGGGAGAUUGUGAGACCCCAGGUAGUCCUAUAUAUGAAAUAUAAUAGGGCUAAUCUCUUAACCUGACUUAAGCAUUUUGGAUGAUGGCUAGGCCCAAGAGAUUAAGAGAGUUAAGCGUAGUAGGAUUGUAGUAGUCCGAGGAUAGGUGACCUCCUGAAAAGUUGGGGCAUCACAUUUGGUACCCCCUAGGAAGCUGAGGCGUCACAGUUGAUAUCAGAGCCAAUUACCAGCCGAAAGUGUGAGAUGAGUCUCGGCUACGUCAGGAUUAUACAACGGGGAUAGCGAGGCUCUCAUGUUGUUGACUGUUGUAGGUGGGGCGCGGCUCACUACAAGGUCAGUUUAGGCUAGCGAGACGAGUCUCAUAUCACUUGGUACUUGUGAGUCUGAGCCUGAUGAGAACGUCAGGGCUUAAAGGGAGGUAGAUUGUGAGACCCCAAGUAGUCCUACAUAUAAGAUAUAAUAGGGUUAGAACUCUUAACCCGGCUUAAGCAUUUUGGGUAGUGACAAUGCCCAAGAGGUUAAGAGAGUUAAGCGCGUUAGGACGGGAGUAAUACUAGGAUGGGUGACCCCCUGAGAAGUUGGAGCGUCACAGCUGUUGUUAUAAAUGCCGACAAAGCUAUGUUUUCCUACAGUGCUAGUACGGAAACUUAUUUUUGCCAUGGGUUGAUAUGGCGGUUUCGAUUAGGUUGUUUGCAUACUGGAUUGUGCCGAGGGAACAUGGAUAGUGUUUCUAUGAUCUGAUUGAUCAUUUGCAUUGAUUACAGCCUGCAUAAGCCGUAUUGAGCUCAAUAGAGAUAUGGGUUGUAUAUAGAUGCGGGUACCCAUGAAUUACCUGCAAAUUUGCUGGUAUGGAUACUAUUUUUUCUUAUCCAAAAAACUAUGGAUAAAAUGAGUGGGUACCAUUUAAGUUGUGAGUAUUUUAGGUAAUCCGAUGGUACCUGUAUAUAUUUUCUUAAUUAAAAAAUAUAAUCUUUAUGAUAUUGACUACAUAAUCAUGAAAACUUUAUUAAUUUUGUAUUAUGAAAAAUUGGAAUGAUAAAGUAAUUUUAUAUUAUAUAAAUUUAUGUGCUUUAAAAUUUUAUAUUGCUUACUAUGUAUCAUGAUAUUUCAAAUAACAAGUUAUGUCGUACUCUUAAAAAUUAUAUAUAUAUAUAUAUAUAUAUAUAUAUAUAUAUAUAUAUAUAUAUAUAUAUAUAUAUGUUUUGCAUUUGAAAAGUAUAGGAGCUAAAAAGAAAAAAAAAAAAAAAAUCUUGCGAGCAAUCCGCAUACCCACCCGCCAUUGCUCAUGGGCGGGUAUGGGUAAAGAUGUUAACUACUCAAAUAUUUACAAGUAAAUUUUACCCAUGCCUAUAUGACCCGCAGGUAUAAUGACAUGUCUACGGGUUACCCAACCCACCCGUCUACUAGCUCUAGUUGUAUACUUGGUGCGUUCAUGCCCCUUUAGUACCGCUUCGGAAUCUGAUUUUAGCAUUGAUGUUGCAACAGUCAUGGUAGGCAACCUAUAUUUUAAUAGGCCAUUUGCAAAAGUGGUGUCAUGAUAGUAUAUAGACGCAAACUUGAUUGAACUCUCGAGUCGGUCGGUAGGAUUGGGCUAUGAUUGUAAGCAAUCAGUAGUUAAUUGAUGUAUACUAUCUAUACAUAUUAUCUCGAGCAUCUGUAGUAUAGAGGCAUGGAAGCUGUAAAUUUUAUAUAUAUAUAUAGAGUGAGGCUACUAUGCUUCUGGAAGUACGGAGCCUUCCGUGCUUCCAGGUCGUUUUUGAUGUUGUGACUUUCGAAUCGUCGAUCGACUUCGUUAAACUUAAUCUAGAGUUUUUGAAGUACCUAGAAAAUAAAUUUUGCAAUUUUUCGAUAUCAUUUGCCUAGUGAACUAAGGGACUCAAAGUCAACGGCUGAAAAUAAAAAUCUUACAAAACGUGAUAAUAUGACAUUAAAAUAUUAGAUCAAAGAUAUUAAUCUUGUUUUAUAUAGUAUAAAGAAUUUUCUAUCAAAAUUUUACGUGAUUUGGAUAUUUCUAUACCGUUAAACUUGCAAAUGGCUCACCACGGUCAUUAAAAUUAUUAAUUUUGAGUCCCUACGAUCACCAGGCAAAUGAUAUCAAAAAAUCAUAAAAUUAUUUUCUAAGUACGUCAAAUACUCUAGAUCAAGUUUAACGGAGCCGAUCGACGAUUCGAAAGUUGCAACAUCGAAAACGACCUGGAAGCACGGAAGGCUUCGUGCUUCUAUAUAUAUAUAUAUAGUCCGGCUACUAAACUCUUAUAAGUACGAUCACCCUCGUACUCAUAAAUUAUUUUCAAUAAUAUUUAACGGAGUGGAUCGUCAAUUUGGAAGUUCCAUUAUUGAAAAUAACUUAUGAGUACGAAGUGCCCUAUACUCAUAAGAGUAUAGUAGCCCUGUUCGUACUCUAUACUCAUAAGAGUAUAGUAGUUCUAGCAUAUANCACGUCUCGACUCUCCGGGAUCUGCUUUCGGCUGGUUCCAGUCCCUGCGAAAGAAUCAAUGUAUCAGAAAUGACCCUAGAGAAACAAGAAAUCAUGAAGAUGGACGGAUCUAUGGGGAAAUCAACAAAGAGCGAGGUUUGUAUCGGAAGCAAAAUACAGGUGUGAUGAAUGAAAGAUGAGACGGAAAAAAUCAGAAUCCGGAUGUGUUUAAAAGAAACCAGAUACUGAAACAAUGGAGUCACAAAUUCAGUUUUCUUUUUAGGCUAAAUUACAUAAAACCUUCCUAUCAAAACCCGAUUUUUUACUUUCCCUCCCUGUCAUUUAAAAACCCAUACUUUGCCCCCUUAUAAAAUAAAAAAUGUUCACUUCACCCCAUGCCGUUAGUAAUCCGUUAGGAUUCCGUUUAUAAAAUAUUAUUAUAUUUUUUUUUAUGCCAAAAAUGCUCUCAACGUACUCUCCUGUGAACAUGGUGAGGGGCAAAAUGGUCAUUUUACUAUCACAGUUCACACCGUACCCCCUAUGAGCAUUUUUCAUUUUAUAAGGAGGCAAAGUGUAGAUUUUUAAAUGACAGGAGGGGAAGUGAAAAAUCGGAUUUUGAUACGGGGGUUUUUUGUAAUUUAGCAUUCUUUUUAUGCUACCUACAAGGAACAAUUCGAUUGCUUUUAGUGGCUCCCUGAAAGAGAGGCUUUCGGUUUCUCACGUUUUCGUCCGCGUAAUAAAAGUGAAUUAAGCCAGUUUAUUACUGCCGACUUUCAAUGUUUAGUAGUUUAAAAAUAGCUUCUGCCAAUAUAUAUAUAUAUAUAUAUAUAUAUAUAUAUGGUUGAUUAUCUCUUUUCUUUCUUACCUCUAUUAGAUCUAAUGAGUAGGUCAUUAUCGUCGAUGAUAGAGCUCUUCACACCUGUCGCUGCUUCUGAUCGAGGUAUGAGAUUAGGAAAUGGAUAACAUCUCCUAUCCGAGUUGGACGUAUAUUGAAGAACUCAAUAGCACUAGGCAUAUCGGGACCAGUGAUGCCAGCUUUAUUGUAUCUUUUACUUUUUGUUAUCUGAGAGGUGGCGGGUGUUCGUUUUGGGAUACUUUCUGUCAUUUAUGUACAGUGACCUUUUAGUUUAGUUUAUUUUAAUUAUUUCAGCUUUGCUAUCUACAAUAGUAGAUUUUUAGUCAUAUUUUGCAAGUUUAGACGCUUUGUGUAUAUGACGGAUCUGUUAACAUGACCGAGUUUCUGUCAUAAUCCGGAGCAUGAUAAAAAUUUUUAAUUAUGAAAAAUAAUCCUAAUUUUCAAUAGUUUGAUAGUUGAGCAAAUGUUAUUGAGUCCUCCGUAUACCAUUCCAUAAUUUCAUAUGGUAUUCCUCUGUGCCAACUCCUAGGAGGUUCCCUGAUCACCAUCCAUAAAUACAAAUUGCACAUAUUCUAUUCUUAAAUGCCAAAACUAAUUAAAUUCAUGCCGAGCACGUCUAUGUCUCCAUACUCUUAUCAAAUUUCAAGUUUCGUCUAAAACUAAGUCAAUUUUUUAGACAAAUAGCAAUCUUUAACAUAUUAGUUCGUUGCAAGAUAUACGCUCCUAAACUUGGUUGAUAUGGUUUUUUUUAGGAUAAUUAUUUAUAUAUCUCUCAAAGUUUUUUAAAUUUUUUAUAUAUUCCUACCUUUUUUUUUUAUCAAAUAUACCUUUCGUGUAUUUCUCCGUUGUUCUGUUAGUACCCGUUAAGUCAUCUCGGUUUUAAAAAAAAUCAAAAUACUCCUAUUGUUCCUAACUUAAGGACAAAUAAGAAAACUUAGUAACGGUAUAACGAUAUAUUUGAAAGAAUAAAAAGUCAAAAACUAUGUAGAGAUAUAUUUGAAAUGACAUAAUAAUAAUUUUUACAGUGAUAAAUCCUAAUAAUUCACCAACAGAAUUUAACUCCGUUGGUAGCCGAGUUUUCCGACCCUUGAUCCAGUCAAAGAUCCUCCUCGAGGAGUGUGUCGGGGUGAGGAACGGCUGCGGAUAGUGACCCUCGAAGUUUGCGCCCUUCGACUGGAUCAAGCGAUUCGGCUGACGAGGGAUCGAGCUAGCCGAAUUCGAAAACCACUAUUUUCUAUUCGGUUCGGUUGGAAUGAGCCGAAUGUACAGCACAUGCCAGAAACUAGGCUGGGAGAAGAGCCGAAUGGCUAAAGCAACACGAGACUUUGUCAGCUUGAGGAGCCGAAAGACUUUCUAUUGAUUGACUGAUGGGAAGUAUAAGGACGGAUAUGUAGUUUACAACGGAGUGAUGCCCAUGGGGCAGACAGAUUCCAGGAUUCUACUCUAGCGAACUACUCUUAGAGAAAAACAGUAAAAUUACAAGUAGACUACUAUUAGAAAAUGAGGAAUACUUCAAUACUCCGUAUAAAUCUUGACCAUUUAUUUUUCUUAAUAGAUGGUUUAGAUUUAAUAUGAUUAUAGAGGUGACCUGCUAUUGAAGCAUAGGUACCAUUCAUCAGGUACCCAUUUAAAGUGUAUUUUAGUCUUUGUAAAAUAGUUUGGUCCACAAAAUCGAUUUUAUCCAACUAAGAAUAUUGUGACCCUCUUAAAUACCUACAACAAUAGUUGAAUUUUAAAUUACAACCAAACUGUAAAUUUAAAUUCAAAACAACAUUUAAAACUUUAUAAAUCAAAUUUAAUUUUUUUGAAUAUAAAACAUAAAUUUAAAAUAAAACUUUUUGUUCCAAUUUAAAAUUUCAAUUUAAAUCAAAAAUUAAAAUUUGGCUUUAAGAUUAAACGUUCAAUUUAGAUUCAAAUUUAAAAGUUUAAUAUACAUUUCAAAAUUAAAAUUUUACAUUACAAUACUAAUUUCAAAAAUUAAAUUUAAAUUCAAUAUUUUUUUGAGAUGAAUACUUAAUAAAUUGGGUAUCAUCUAAUUUGGUAAGUUAUCAAAGUAAACAAGAUAUUUAAUAUUUAAAGAAUACUGACAAAUUUGGUAUAUACUAAUUUUUUUUCAAUAUUGUAAUGUUAAUUAAUUCAAAUCGGUAACAUGUUCAAUAGGUUACUUCAUAUAAAUCCCAACUAUACUCUUUACUAAUUAAGGAAUUAAAUUUUAAUACUUAUGGUGUAUUGAAGCAUUCCUCCUAGAAAAUAAGGAAAUUACGAGAAAAUAAGAGUGGUCUUUUGUUCACAGGGAAGGACCUCUUUUCAAAGUAUCGUUGACCUAUUUAUAGGACCGCCCCUGGUUCACUUAUUACAUGAUCGGCCACUACCUCCUAAAAUUCCGGACCAACUUCAGCCGAUCGAACCGCUCGCAACUGCUUGCGGUUACUGUAACUUCCUAUUUGCGCGACAAUUUUCUUCUUUAGAACUUUUUCGGUGCUCCUGGUGCACGGCCAAAUUAAUGCCUUUGAAAGGAAUUUCGGCCUACCACCCGUCCGCGCCUAAUUGGCUCAACAAACUCUAUAAUAUAUAUUUGAAAUAACUUCGGAAUGUUAAAAGAAUAUUUAUUAUAUUAGCCUUCUAAGGAGUAAACAAGACAAUCUGAAAUUUUUCAGAAUUAAAUAAGCAAUUGCCUUUUUUUUUUCCUUUUUUUUGUUAUUUUUUCUUAAUUUUGGUUAUCUAUAUCUAGUGUUUAGCUAGCAGUGGUGGGUAGUUGAUAUUAACAAUUGAAUGCUGAAUUGCUGGAACUUUAAAUUAUUCAGAAGUACUGUGUUUAUUAACAAAUUAAUUAUCUAUUACAACCUAUUUCAUCGGUGGUUUAUCUUGGAUGAUAAGGAGACGUUGUAGCGACGCAAAGAUUAGAAAACAACAAAAAGAUUAGAAAAAAUUUCAAAUACCACUCAUGUGGUUGCGCACUUUCUCAUUUUAGUACCCUAUGAUUUAAAGUGUAUAUAUCAUCAUUUUCAUACUUGUGAUUUUAUUUUUCUCUUUUUGUUAUCCUUUGCACUAAUAUUUUUUGUUGAAUCAGUGACAAAGGUAAAACUAAAAGGUACUAAAGUGAAUAUUUGAUAAACUAUAGGUGAGAUAUCUGAAAUUUUUUGUAUAUGAUUUAACGGAAAGUUAGCGGAGGGGUUGACAAAAAGAGAAAAAUAAAAUCAUAGGGUACUAAAUUGAUACACUUUAAAUCAUAUAAUACUGAAGUGAGAAAGUACGAAACCACAGUGGUGAUAUCUGAAGUUUACCAAAAAGAUCAAUUAGAGCUACAGGCGACCUUCUAAUUUUUCCGGUAACAUUAUUCUCAAAUCCAACUUGGAUUACAUAACUCUAGCUUCAUUUCGAGCAACUGGUUGUUGACCUUACAAAGAAACUAUUUUAAUGCCAUUUCUUAUAAAGAUAUCAACUUGACAUGCUCCUCAUUAUAGUAUCCAAUCUUUCUCUACAUAUUUAGACAUUUUCCUACUCAAGCUUAGUUUGGUCAAACCUCGCUAGCUCUUCGUAACAUACGAAUAUGUUGAUGAUGAACAAUUGAAGACAUUUUAGAGAGUCGAAGAACAAGAAUUCUUUCAGAGGGUGCGAGUUGAUGGAAAAAAGACUUAUCUUUAGAUUUGGCGAUAGGAGCUGCAGAUUGACUCGAGAUGGGUGUUGGCUCUUCUUCUUCCUCACUCAUGUUGUUCGAAUUCUGGUCACGUUGGCACACACCGACCCUCAAGAUGGUAAAUUAAUUUGACUUGCCUAUCUAUUUUACGUACGGUUUUUUCUUUUUUUAAAAAAAAAUUAUAUAUUUCGGCAUGCAAGAGCAAUGCUGCGUUUACAAUCUAGAAAAGUUUGUAAUUCUACUACUCCAUUAAAAGGAAUGAGUAAUCUUUAGUUUUAGCCUUUGAAUGAGAGAUUGUUGUGUUACAACUUCUUGGUUUUCUCUUUUCACAAUUGUUUUUUUUUUUUUUUUGAGAGAUAGGUAGCACGCUACUCGCUUCGUUUAUUUCAUUUAGAAAUAAACUUAGCUGGAAAUGUGAAUCAAUUAGGAUUCGAACUUGGGUCUCGGGUACCAACCACCAAGCCCUUUGCCACUUGCUCCAAGGACGGUCGGUCUCUUUUCACAAUUGUUGCGAGCAUAUUAUUGAGUGUUUGAAUUAGUGUUUCUUGAAUUUUGUCGUGAACUAUGGAGAGAACCACAAGCUGUUAGUGAUGAAUGAAAGUCAUGUAGAAACAUUAGAUGUCGAUAAAAAUAGGCUCUUUUUUUUUUUAUUUAGCCCCUUCAAAACAAAUUUCUUUUAUGAAUGACCCUAAUAAAUUUAUAUGUGCAUAUAUGACUUUUUUCUUACCACGCGAGUGUCACGUUGGUAAUUUUAAUUUGAAUACGGCGAUUGAAUCACCGUAUUCAUAUUCAUACUUUAGUGUCUUUUUUAACUUAUAGGCAAUAAAAAAUAUAAAAAGAAACACGUGAUUCAAUCACCGUGUUCAACUUAAAAACACCACCUAAGCACUCGCAUGGUAAGAAAAGGAUUAUUUAUAUAAAUAUAAAUUUAUUAGAGUUAUUUGUAAAAAAAAAAAAAAAAACUGAGGGGGCUAAAUAUAAAAAAAGUCCAUAAAAAUAUGCUGAGAUUAUGUUAAAAUAAUGCCCUCUCAAACUUUGGCUGCUUAGGCUAAAUUGGCUAUGUUUUAAAAUUUAACGGCUUAAUCAAAUCGAAUAAAUGGAAAGUUUAUGUGAAUUUUCAUUUUUUGCCUAAACUUUUUUAGAUUAAGAGAGUAUAGCAUUUCUUUUUGCUCUUAACAUGGCCCCCAAAACAUGGGCUGAUCCAUAGCCUGGACCCGGCCCACGCUCGUUAACAUAAGCGUGUAUCAAAUCAAUUCAAUUAAUAAGCUUUAUGAAGAAUUUAAUAAAGAAUAAUAAUAUCAUAGAUUCGCAUUGAAAUGAUAUAGAAGAAAAAAAAGUUAUUUUUGCAAGGUAAAAAUUUUGAAAUAAAUAUUUUUAUUUUCAUCUUAAAAUAAAAAGCAAAGCUAGAAUAUUUUUAGAAGCAAUUACAUGCUAUUUCUCGUGGUGAUGAAACAUUCGAUUGAUUAUUGUCGCAAUUAAAUGUAAUUUAGAUUAUUUAUAUUUUUUAAAUCUUAGAAUUUAUAAAUUUUUGAUAUUAUUUAUUUAAUAGGUAAAAACUGUGUAUAACUUAUUUGAACUACAGACCAUUUUGAGUCGGCUAUUUAACCUUUCAAACUUUUAAUUUUACUAUAUAAUCUUUCAAUUUGAAUUUUAAUUUUACUAUAUAAUCUCUCAAUUUGUUUGAUUGAGUUAGUCAACAAUGCUUUAACUUUAAAAUUUUAAUGUGUUAUUUAUUUCUACAAGUUUAGUUAGCAUAUUUUAUAUAAUUUUUGCAGUUAUAAAUUCAUUAAAAUAAGUAAUUAACUUAAAUUUUAAAGUCAAAAUACCGUUGAUUCACUCAAAUUCAAACAAAUUGAAAGACUGGGUAGUAAAUCAAAGUUUUGAAAGAUUGGAUAGCCUUACUCAAAAUGGUUUAUAGUUUAAAUAAGUUAUGUAUAUUUUUAUCUAUUUUGAUAGCUAUUUAGGGUCAAUUUCAUUCAUACCCCUGUAAAAAUAAAAAUAUCAUAAAUAUCCUUAUAAAUUUUUUAUUAUCNGCUCUUAUUCUCUCUCUCUCUCUCUCUCUCUCUCUCUCUCUCUCUCUCUCUCUUAUUUUUACUUUACUUAAGGUUAAGAUUAAAAAUAAGUAAGGAUUGAAAUGUCUAGUUUACCCUUGACUAUUACAAAUUUUUAGAAGGGCAAAAGCAUGGGCUUCAAAAUAAAAAGAAUUUCAAAACUAUCCCUCACUUUUUAAUUCUUCUUUGUUUAUAUAAAGGUGUACAUUUUAAUAAAUAGUUUGGAUAAAUAUAUUAAUAUUUAAUUUAGAUCAGUCAAAUAUUUAACAAAUUUUAUUAAUAUCUUUUUUAUGAUGUAUAUUGGGCAAGUUAGCUUGGAUGCUUAUGUUAGUUCAAAUAGUUAAGUUUAUAUUAUGCAAACUUUUACUCAGUUUUGGAUUACAAACCGUUCAAAUUAAUAAUUUUAGAUUAACUUAAAUAUUAUAGAAUCUUUUAGUUCAAUAUUUUCAGAUUAAUCUAGAUUUCAGGUAUUGUUUUUUAGUUCAAUUUAUUUUAGAAUGCAAAAGUUUAAAUUUAUAAAAGCUUGUUUACAUGCUAGUUUGUAACGCUACUCCAAAAGUGAUUUUCUUAACUUACAUUAUUUUUAUAGUUGUACCCAUUUUUUUUAUUGCUUCUUUCUAAUCUUAUACAUAAUAUUAAAUCAUUUUAUUGUUACUUCAAAUUUGGUAAAUAAUUUUAUACUGUAUAAUUAGUGAUAAAACUUUGUAACUGUUUAGUCGAUUUAUUCUUCACUCUCUCCCUUUAUAAAAAAACCAAAAAAAAUUUAGAAGCAAUUAACAAGAUUUAAUAAGAUAAUAAAAGUAUCAUCCUUUUGUUUUUGGUUAUUCAAAUUUUACAGAUAAGAGAAUCAAACCAUAUGACUUACACAAAUUUCAGAUUUCAUAAGCAGGCCUAAAUAAUUAUAUUAAAAGUUAUAUUUUUUAAAACUAAUAUCUUAGACAACAAGUGUGCAUGUUGCUAAAACCUAAUUAUGGAUUUUUAAAUUCAAAGAGUGUUUACGAAAGUUAUAACUUAUUAGCGAUAAUUGGAGCAUUUAAAAGCACAAUUAUGAAAAGGCUAAGACUGGUAUUUGCUUGUUAUUGUUGUAGACCAGUUUAGUGAAAGUUAUUUUAAAGGGUAGUUUUGAAAAUUUGCUGUGUUUGGAGGGGCAUUUAGGAUAGCUCAAUUUUUAUAUUAAAUGUUUCCUAUAUUCAGAGGAAAAUUUGGAAUAUUUUAAUUUUUAUAGGGACUGUAUUUUUAGAUGGACAUACAGAAAAAUUUUCCUAUUUAAGGGAUGGGGUCACUCACUCAUCAGAUUUCCACCUGCUGGAUGAGUGGGAUGUACAAUAUUGAUAUUUUUCGAAAUUGAUAAAUGUUAUUAGUUAAUAAGAUAUAAAUUUAAAGGGCUUUUUUUUUGCAAAUAGUCCCCUGACAAAUUUUAUUUGCAAAAAUAGCCCUGUUCAAAAAUUAUUUGCAAAAAUGGCCCUGCUCCUGCCACGCCAACGCCACGUCAGCGCCACGCGGGCAGGACGGGCCCAGAUGUUUAAGUUGAACACGGUGAACCAUUCACCGUGUUCAAUACAAGAUUUUUGUAUUGGACACGGUGAAUGGUUCACCGUGUCCAAUACAAAUGCCCCAACAAUGACUAAGUUAGAGGUAUUUGUAUUAGACACGGUGAACCAUUCACCGUGUCUAAUUAUUUGUAUUGGACACGGUGAAUGAUUCACCGUAUCCAAUACAAAUAUUUCGAUCUUAGCUAUUUUGUAUUGGACACGGUGAAUCAUUCACCGUGUCCAAUACAAAAACUUUGUAUUGAACACGGUGAAUGGUUCACCGUGUCCAAUACAAAAACUUUGUAUUGAACACGGUGAAUGGUUCACCGUGUUCAACUUAACCAUCUGGCCCAGCCCCGCCCGCGUGGCGCUGACGUGGUGCUUGCGUGGCGGGGCCAGGGCCAUUUUUGUAAAUAAAUUUUUGACAGGGCCAAAUUUAAAAUUUUUUUUUGUAAGGGGGCUAUUUGCAAAAAAAGCCCAAAUUUAAAUUAACUUAAUAACUAGUUAAUGGCAUAACAAAUUUAUAAAUUUUUUUCUAAAAACUUUAAAUAACAAAAUAAAUUAAAUACUAAAAUUAAACCAUCGCUGCUAAGAAAGUAAGAAUAAAGUAGGCUAUCAUAUCUAACGAAUUUAUAGCUAAUAAAGAGUUUGAUGAUUGACAUGUGCAAAUUCAAGUUAGAUGUAGGAAUGUCAAUGGGGGUCGGAUUCGAAGCGAAUUUUUAAAAAUCCGAAUCCAAAUCCGACGAAUUUUAAAAUUCAUAUCCAAAUCCGAACCCGACCAAAAAACUAAAACCUGAAUUCAAAUCCGAACCGAAAUAAUUAUUUCUCUUUUGCAAUAUUUCAAAAUAUAUUAUGUUAAAUUUAAAUUCUUAAAAUGCAAAUUUAAAUAUAAUAUUAAAUUUUUAUUUACAUAUUAUAUAUAAUGUAAAAUAAAUUCUGAUUCGGGUUGAAUUCGAAUUCGGAUCGGAUACAUUCAAAAUUCAUAUUUGUCGGAUCGUUGGCGCUAACCAUUAAUCCCAAAAGCUUGAGCUGUUAGAAAUACGCAACCAAUUCACUUAAAGCGUACAGAAACAACGCCCACGGGUCUCGAUUGUGACUCGGCCCACCUGGCCUCACGCCGCUUCGAACGUGACUCGGCCCAACCCAGCCUCAUGGCAUUUCGAACAUGACUCGGCCCACAUGGCCUUACGCCACUUCGAACAUGACUCCCGUCACAGAGCAAGAUGCUGACCCAUUUAAGCCAACAAUAUUCGUAUUCA